CAGCGAACCAACAAAAUGCUCACAGGACGGAAGGACAUUAAUUCUUAGAGAAAGUUUACACGUCGUAUCAAAACAAACGGUAAGAGUUUCCAUCGAUAUGUAAAAAGGAAAAGGGUAGCUCAGUUUAAUACUUCUUGAAGAAUCUUCUGCAUCUCCUGGUCGUUUGUGGGGCACGAGAAUCCAUGACAAAAUUGGCGACCGUGGCAGGACCGGAAAGAGAUCCGCGGAAAGGAAACGGCAGAUUGGGGACGCUUACAGAAUAAAGGGUGCACCCAAACAAAAGGAAAAACAGAAACAGCCGGAGACCGUACAAGGGGAAGGACCGAUUAAACCAGGAGACCAGGUUUACGUGCGAGUUUUUUGGAGAAAGUGGAACGAGCCAAGAAGGGAAGGACCCUUUACGGUGACCAAGGCAUCACCCACUGCAGUUCAGGUAGAAGGACACUCCACCUGGUACCAUCUGAACCACUGCACGAGGGAAGUCCCGCAAGGACAAUCAGGUGAGGUGAGGUGUCCGAGGUAAGUGAUGCGGAAGAGCAGUUAGCAAGAGACAGACAGGAGGAACAAGAAGCUGACACUGCACCGCAGGAGUUUGAUCAAUUAGUAAGGAAAACUUUUGAUUCUGAGGACGGGCCUGAAGACCCUCAGGAUGUGGUGGUCGAUAGUAGGGCUUCUUCAGAUAAUGGGGAUGAGCUGGGAACGACCAGUCGUGCCCCUGGGGACAAAGCACCCACAUACUCCAGUGCAGACUUGGAAACCAUUAGUGUGGCAGAUAUGGAAUGGGACUGUUAAGUCCCCACAGAACCUACAGAAAAGAAGUAAGAGGAGCACAACACUUACCUCCUCGCCAUGGUUACAGACACAUACUAAUCAGUGGUAUCAAUGGGCAACUUACACGGCAGGAAUGAAGAAGAGACAGAAUUGUUACCUGUGCUUAAGGGAAAGCCCCACUCAGCAUGUAGUUCCCAUGCCUUAUAACCCCUCCACAUGCACGCAGUGGCAAAGAGAGCAUAGGGAGCAAUGUGAACGACAGUGUUCAGGUUCGAUUAAGGCUUGCUUCCUGAAGCUUUGUGUUAUAACAGAUCCCUGCUAUCAAAGCUGUAUGAGGAACACACCAAUGUGCCCAUAUUGGUGUAUGUUAUAUCAGGCUUCCUCGCAGUUUGUGUGAUGUUUGGAGAGAAGUGCUGUACUUUUAUACCAAGUAACACUAGUCCAGAAGGAUCAUUUACUAAGACAAUGUAUAAGUUGAAAAGUCUAAGAAAGGAAGUUAAACAGAAUGCAGGGUUUGGACAUCAGUUAUUUGACUGGUUAGAAAGUAGACUCGGAGGAUGGGGAGCAUGGCUGACUAAAAUGGCAAUAACUGUCAGUAUUGUAUUGUUGAGCUGUGUGCUUGUGCUGUGCUGUUUUCUUCCUUGUCUCAAGUCUCUUGUAGUGCGUGCUGCAACCAAACAAUUUCCGAUGCUCGUGGCAAUUACUGAAGCAAGCUUAGUGGAGAAAGAAACACUGAAAAUGUAUCGUUACAGCCUACAACACCUGCAGGAUGAACAAGAGCAAAAUGACAGUGUGGGAGUAGAUUGUAAGGGCUUCUGAGUCUUUUUCCCUGUCUCAGGUACAAAGGGACAGGUUUUUGGCUCAGCGGCCCAGCGUAACAGGGAGAGAAUACUUUGAGGUCUUGGCACAGAAAAUUAUAGUUUAACCCGAGAUUUUGGAAUAAGUGCUUGAGUUUAUUGGGGCUUUUGUGUGCAGACUCUUAGUCUUCUUUCUCUGUAUGAGACCCUCUGAGUCUCAAAGGGGGGAUAUAUUGGAGUAUAAAAGUUGCAACUUGCUAUUUGCUAGAGAAUGAAAUCUUAGGAAUGUAGAAGACAAUGGUGUGUUAAUAAGAGGAAGCUAAGAGAUGUAGAUUAUGUAGUUUGAACUUGCUAUUUGCUAUGCAUGUACCCAAUUUAGUAGGAGAAUGAAAUCUUAAGAAUGUAGAAGACAAUGGUGUGUUAAUGAGAGGUAGCUAAGAGAUGUAGAUUAGAACAUGAUUAGGUCAAUGGGUAGAAACAAUAGUGGCGGAUGUACUUACGAUACACAUCUAUAGACCGAUUGGAUAUGCUAAUGCAACUAAACCAGGAGAUUGCUAUAAAAAAUGCUAUGUACAAGGAUCGGUGGGCAAUCAGCGACUAGCUC